rnacentral:rRNA from 1 species
GAGGGGGUGCAAACGUUAUUCGGAUUUACUGGGUGUAAAGAGUGUGUAGACGGGUUUGUUAAGUUUAUUGUUAAAUCUUCCGGGCCUAACCGGGGAGCUUGCAAUGGAAACUGGCAGACUUGAGGGUGAAAGAGAGAAGCGGAAUUCUCGGAGUAGCGGUAAAAUGCGUAGAUCUCGAGAGGAACACCGAUGGCGAAGGCAGCUUCUUGGUUCACUCCUGACGUUGAGACACGAAAGCGUGGGGAGCAAACAGGAUUAGAUACCCUGGUAGUCCACGCCGUAAACGAUGAUCACUAGAUGUUAGCCUUGCUUUGCAAGGUUGGUAUCGAAGCUAACGCGUUAAGUGAUCCACCUGGGAAGUACGGUCGCAAGAUUA